ensembl:lncRNA MIR22HG MIR22 host gene
GAUCGGAGCCUGGAGCCGGUGUGUGCUGGGUGCCGAGAAGAGACAGCGCCGCCGGCCGUGGGGAGCGGACGCAGUGAUUUGCUCCCCCUCGUGCAGCAACCCCCACACCCAGCACCAGGCCCCCAGAACUCUCCUUCCAGCUGAACUCCCUGGGAACAAGUCAGUUGGGCUGAUCACUGAACUCACAUUUCUGGACCUGAGGAGCCUGUUCCUCUCACGCCCUCACCUGGCUGAGCCGCAGUAGUUCUUCAGUGGCAAGCUUUAUGUCCUGACCCAGCUAAAGCUGCCAGUUGAAGAACUGUUGCCCUCUGCCCCUGGCUUCGAGGAGGAGGAGGAGCUGCUUUCCCCAUCAUCUGGAAGCCCUGAUCCAUUCUCACCUAGCGGCUACAGGAAGCUGUGUCUGUUCGAUUUGGUGGGAGGAGAUGUGCAGGGAGCUGUAUCUUGUCCUCCGCUUGUGAAAAACUCAAGGAUGUGGAGAAGAGUAGACCGUGGAACCCUGCUCUUCUGCAGCCAAGCUGAGGGGCAGGAUGCGUGUGGGACAGUGGUAGAGAAGCAGGGGAUAGACUCAUAGGCUGCAACAAAGGUGACUCUGUCCCUGGACACUGCCUCCGUACUUUCUCCUUGCUUCACUGGCCACAGCAUCUCCCUCCAGCCCUCGCUAUGUGCCUCUGCCAUCUUCACCCAUCAUGGAGCAGAGGUGAGGAGAGGCAGCCUGGGAAUAUGGAGACCAGUGAAGGACCAGGCCUGGAGAGCACAGGGUCCUACCUGGGCAUCCAGCAGAGGAGCCCCUAAAGGCCAGGAGCACCCCAAGAGGAGGGAGGGCAGCCAGCCUCCAUUGACGGCGAGCCUCCAGCCCUCUCCUACUUUGAUCACCAUUUCUCUCCAGGCUUUCUGCCUCCGAGAUGUGGCACCAUAGUGCGGUGCCCUGUGGCUUCACCGCCCUACUUCCACCUCCGCCCAGCCUGUAAUGUUUAUAUAAGCAGCCUCAAGGACCAAGAACCAUCUGCGAAAGGACACACACAGGAAAUUCAUAAAAGAAAUCUGAAUGGAUAAAACCAUGAAAAAAAGUAUGCUUCAUUAGUAAUUAAAGAAAGGCAAAUAGAGCUGGAAGCAUUUUUCCCUUAGCAAACCAUAACAGAAAAAAAUAAGACCCAAUAUUGGCAAAGAGACUACUGAAAAAACAUUCCCAUACAUUGCGUGUGGGAGUAUACAUCGGUGCAGGCUUCCUGGAUGACAGUUGGGUGAUAUGUGUCAUGUGGCCUAAAAGCCUCCAUGUCAUUUGACCUACGAAUUCUAUCUUUGGGAAUUUAUCCUAAGAAAAUACUUAAGGAUUUAGUUAGUGAUAAGAUGUUCAUCCCAGCAUUGCAAUGGAGAAAAAUGGGAAGCAAUGGUUUGGUUGGGAAUUUAUUCCUUUUCUGCUGUAACGAAAGUUUGCAAUAGGGGAUUGCUUAAGUAAAUUAUUGUAUCUCCAUCCAGAUGGUGGAGUACCGCGCAGACAUUAAAAGUCAUGUAAAAGAACAUCUGACUGAAAGAAAAAUGCUCCUUGAAUAUUAAAAGGUUGUAAAAAUAGUGCAUGUUAUGUGAUUUCAAUUUUGUUUUUUAAAAUAUGGGUGUAUGCUUGUAUACGUAGAGCAGAUAAAAAAGACGGAAGGCAUACUAAAAAAUGUUGAGUGGUUAUCUUUGUAUGGUGGAACAAAGUCACUGUAAUUUUCAUCUUUGGUUUUUCUGUAAUUUCCAAAUUUUCCACAUUUUGUAUUUCAUAUAAUAUAAUUUAAGAGA